rnacentral:rRNA from 1 species
CUACGGGGUGCUGCAGUGGGGAAUUUUGCGCAAUGGGCGAAAGCCUGACGCAGCAACGCCGUGUGAGCGAUGAAGGCCUUCGGGUUGUAAAGCUCUGUCAGGUGGGAAGAAGAACAUGACGGUACCACCAGAGGAAGCCCCGGCUAACUCCGUGCCAGCAGCCGCGGUAACACGGAGGGGGCGAGGCGUUGUUCGGAAUCAUUGGGCGUAAAGCGUAUGUAGGUGGUUGGACAAGUCAGACGUGUAAGCCCACGGCUCAACCGUGGAAUUGCGUUUGAAACUAUCCAACUUGAGUGCAGAAGAGGAAAGCGGAAUUUCCAGUGUAGCGGUGAAAUGCGUUGAUAUUGGGAAGAACACCUGUGGCGAAGGCGGCUUUCUGGUCUGCUACUGACACUGAGAUACGAAAGCCAGGGGAGCAAACGGGAUUAGAUACCCCUGUAGUC